rnacentral:rRNA from 1 species
GAUGAACGCUGGCGGCGUGCCUAAUACAUGCAAGUCGAGCGAACAGACGAGGAGCUUGCUCCUCUGACGUUAGCGGCGGACGGGUGAGUAACACGUGGAUAACCUACCUAUCAGACUGGGAUAACUUCGGGAAACCGGAGCUAAUCCCGGAUAAUAUAUUGAACCGCAUUGUUCAAUAGUGAAAGACGGUUUUGCUGUCACUUAUAGAUGGAUCCGCGCCGCAUUAGCUAGUUGGUAAGGUAACGGCUUACCACGGCAACGAUGCGUAGCCGACCUGAGAGGGUGAUCGGCCACACGGGAACUGAGACACGGUCCAGACUCCUACGGGAGGCAGCAGUAGGGAAUCGUCCGCAAUAGGCGAAAGCCUGACGGAGCAACGCCGCGUGAGUGAUGAAGGUCUUCGGAUCGUAAAACUCUGUUAUUAGGGAAGAACAAAUGUGUAAGUAACUAUGCACGUCUUGACGGUACCUAAUCAGAAAGCCACGGCUAACUACGUG